UGUCUUUUUGAAAAUAAUAUAAAGUCUAAUCUGCCCACUGAUUAAAUAAUUGAAGGGCUGCAGUAUAUUGACUGUACAAAGGUAGCAUAAUCAUUAGUCAUUUAAUUGAUGACUUGUAUGAAGGAUUGGAUGAAAUAUAGACUGUCUCUUAGUUAAAUAUAGAAUUUAAUUUUUUAAUUAAAAAGUUAAAAUAAUUUAAAAAGACGAGAAGACCCUAUAGAGUUUUAUAAAUAAAUUAAUUGAGAUUAUUUAUUAAAUAAAAAUUAAGAUUAAGUUGUUUAUUAUAUUGGGGUGAUAGAAAAAUGUAAUUAACUUUUUUUUUUAUAUGUAAAAACAUUUAUAAGUGAUUAUAUGAUCCAAUAUUAUUGAUUAUAAGAAAAAAUUACCUUAGGGAUAACAGCGUAAUUUUUUUUUUUAGUUCAUAUAAGAAAAAGAGUUUGCGACCUCGAUGUUGGAUUAAGAUAAAAUUUAAAUGUAGAAG
rnacentral:rRNA from 1 species